rnacentral:rRNA from 1 species
UGGCGAACGGGUGAGUAACGCGUGAGGAACCUGCCUCAAAGAGGGGGACAACAGUUGGAAACGACUGCUAAUACCGCAUAAGCCCACGACCCGGCAUCGGGUAGAGGGAAAAGGAGCAAUCCGCUUUGAGAUGGCCUCGCGUCCGAUUAGCUAGUUAGUGAGGUAAUGGCCCACCAAGGCGACGAUCGGUAGCCGGACUGAGAGGUUGAACGGCCACAUUGGGACUGAGACACGGCCCAG